rnacentral:tRNA from 1 species
UCCUCGAUAGUAUAAUGGUAAGUAUCCCUGCCUGUCACGCGGAAGACUGGGGUUCGAUUCCCCGAUGGGGAG